rnacentral:tRNA from 1 species
GCUGGGAUAGCUCAGUCGGCAGAGCAUGAGACUCUUAAUCUCAAGGCUGUGGGUUCGAGCCCCACGCUAAGCA